rnacentral:rRNA from 1 species
GAUGAACGCUGGCGGCGUGCCUAAUACAUGCAAGUCGAACGAACAGACGAGGAGCUUGCUCCUCUGACGGUAGCGGCGGACGGGUGAGUAACGCGUGGAUAGCCUACCUAUAAGACUGGAAUAACUUCGGGAAACCGGAGAUAAGACCGGAUAAUAUAUUGAACCGCAGGGUGCAAUAGUGAGAGGCGGUUUUGCUGCCAGUUGUAGAGGAUGCCGCGCCGCAUUAUCUAGUUGGUAGGGGAACGGCUUACCAAGGCAACGGUGGGGAGCCGACCUGAGAGGGUGAUCGGCCACAGUGGCACUGAGACACGGUCAAGACUCCUACGGGAGGCAGCAGUAGGGAAUGUUCCGCAAUGGGCGAAAGCCUGACGGAGCAACGCCGCGUGCGUGAUGAAGGUCUUCGGAUCGUAAAACUCUGUUAUUAGGGAAGAACAAAUGUGUAAGUAACUAUGCACGUCUUGACGGUACCUGAUCAGAAAGCCACGGCUAACUACGUG